CCUGCCCUUGGGAGGGGAACAACAGCUGGAAACGGCUGCUAAUACCCCAUAGGCUGAGGAGCAAAAGGAGGAAUCCGCCCAAGGAGGGGCUCGCGUCUGAUUAGUUAGUUGGUGAGGCAAUGGCUUACCAAGGCGACGAUCAGUAGCUGGUCCGAGAGGAUGAUCAGCCACACUGGGACUGAGACACGGCCCAGACUCCUACGGGAGGCAGCAGUGGGGAAUUUUCCGCAAUGGGCGAAAGCCUGACGGAGCAAUGCCGCGUGAAGGCAGAAGGCCCACGGGUCAUGAACUUCUUUUCUCGGAGAAGAAAAAAUGACGGUAUCUGAGGAAUAAGCAUCGGCUAACUCUGUGCCAGCAGCCGCGGUAAGACAGAGGAUGCAAGCGUUAUCCGGAAUGAUUGGGCGUAAAGCGUCUGUAGGUGGCUUUUCAAGUCCGCCGUCAAAUCCCA
rnacentral:rRNA from 1 species